rnacentral:lncRNA from 1 species
CGGUAUUGUUUUUUUCAUGUAUGUAGAAAAGGUAUAAAAGAACUUAGUCCCUGAGUCAAAUCCAUCAAUAUCCAUUGAAUCCUUCUACUCAUUUUGUUCAAUACAACUACAAAGUAAUCAACUACUCAUCAACAUGUCAGAUCCUUGUGAAGAAUGUACCUGUGGAAAGGACUGCGAAUCCUGCGUUUGUAAGACUUGUGAAUGCAAGGGGGACAAAACCAAAAAACCAGAAUGAUGCUUCAACUACUUAUGAUGAUAUAAAUUACAAUCAUACUUUAUGUGAAAAUAUUUUUUGUUUUUGCUACUAAUAUAAUAAUACAUUAUACGGCUUUUAUUCUUUUAAAA